GUCGAUAAAAAUAUUAUGGAAAAUAAUACUAAAAAAAAUGUUGAAAAAAAGGAGUGGAAGAAAACAUAAGUCAUUGAAGAGGUAGACGUUGGAUACUCCAUGCACCUACACCUACACCAGGAUUUUGGGCGGCCAUGUUAUGGGUAUAGGGCCCACACUUGCACCCGGGGUAGAAUCGAAAUUUUCAUUAUAUUCUUUUUCCAAUGUUACUUAAAUAAAUAUUACUAUAGUUCGUUCACCAUAACUAUUAAA